rnacentral:rRNA from 1 species
AUACGGAGGGUGCAAGCGUUGUUCGGAAUCACUGGGCGUAAAGGGCGCGCAGGCGGUUUGGUAAGUCAGAUGUGAAAGCCCAUGGCUCAACCAUGGAAGUGCAUUUGAAACUGUCAGACUUGAGUACUAGAGGGGAAAGUGGAAUUCCCGGUGUAGAGGUGAAAUUCGUAGAUAUCGGGAGGAAUACCGGUGGCGAAGGCGACUUUCUGGCUAGAUACUGACGCUGAGGCGCGAAAGCGUGGGGAGCAAACAGGAUUAGAUACCCGGGUAGUCC